CAACCCUCAAGCACUGCUUGGUAUUGGAUGGCCACCGUUGUGGUGUUACCUUAAAAGUAUUGGCAGCAGCAAUCAGCUUCUUGUGUAGUAAAUUUCUUAUUAAGGAGUUGGUUGUGAAAGCCAAAACCCUCAAGUUAUGAAA
rnacentral:misc_RNA from 1 species